ensembl:lncRNA
GUCUGCAUUUCAGAUAGGCAUUCUUGGGGAAAAAAAUGGAUGUUUAACGUUUAGAGUGAUGCACAAUAUGUUGUAAAAUAUGUUGUAUAAUCUGCACCAAGGUAACAGACAGAGGAUAUGACGUAAACAAGGUUAUUUUUUUAUUUUGAUCAGGGCCUGUCAGUCAAACAUGCAUCUGGAAACUGGUUUUCUGGGAAAUGAACGAUACACGGGAACGAGGAGAAACACAUAGUAUCACCGAUACAAAUAUAAUUGAUGAUAUUUCUAUGGUACUGUAUCACCACUCCAUUAUACAAUAUGGUUAAUGCUCAGGUAUAGCCUAAAUGGGUGCCCAAGGUAGGGCAACUUCAUUCCAGUGGCUUUUGGCAUGUGUUCAUUAAUUCAUUCCACCCACUUGUGUUCUGUCUUUCUCUGCCCACUCUUUCUCUUCCUUUCUCUAUUUUCCUCACCCGUUUUGUUGGCGAGGAUAUGGCAGGCGUUCCUCAGGUGGCUCUUGAACUCAUAAAAUGUAGGACGUUAAUGACUCUGACUCAUGUCAAUUUUCAUAUAAUUCCUAUGACUGAAUAGGCUCCAUGCUUAGAUUUCAAAAUGCCUAUGCUGCAGGCACAUCAUUAAUGUGACAGACUCUCUGCAGGGUGACACCAAACGCUAAGUUCAUUAUCAAUCAUCUAACAAUAACCACUCUCUCGCAGGGUGACGCCAAGUUCAUUAGCAAUCAUCUAGCAAUUACCUAUGUAAUCAUUUUUUACAUUUUAUAUAUGAAAUGUGGAAUUUUAUUGCAGAUAUAUAGUAUCCUCUUUGCAUGACAAGUUUGUACCUUUUUAAUGCACCCAACUGUAGUUAGAGGGAAUCAUAAUCAUCAAUGUGAAGGUUUGUGAAGGUUUCCUGUGAAAGUUUACAGCAGGUCCCGGAAUCAUCAGAUGACACGCUGAAUUGUUUUCUCUGUCUGCACAGGAAAUUGUUGAAGAUGACUUCAACUGUCUCACCUGUGACCAACUUCACUACAGUAUUCUCCAAUACCACAAUCACCACCAAGUCCAAAGAACAAAUACUCACUCAGAGUUCAGGGGCUAUGAUUGCUGUCAUUGUCAUCGGGAUCAUUAUCCUUCUAACCAUACUACUUGUCACCCUGAGGACAUACAACAGGCGGACACAUGCGUCCAGAGUGCUGGGUACAGGCUCCAAAGGGCCACCUCGACAGAAGAUGUCCUCUUCUACGGUGCAGACCAGCAUGCCCUUGGGGAGCUUUGUGCUGUCAAGUAGUAUGUCCGAAAAUGGAUUCCGGCUGCCCCGAGUGGAACUAAACAGCCUGGACCAAAACAACUUGGAGCAACAAAGCAGAAUCAGCGAUUCGACAGUAGUCACCAUACACGAUACUCCAUCACUAGGGAAUACAUAGCAGGCCGCUAACGUAUUGGACAGGUGACAAAGUCAGCAUAUAAUGCUUGAAAAGAAAAUCUUUAUUAUGAACAAAGUGGUGCUAUAAGAACGCAAUGAAUAUGCAUGGACACUCCUGUGGACAUAAACAAUUGCUUUCUUGACUACAGUGUUCAGAACAUGGACAAAAUUAUCCUGCUGUCUGUGCAUUUGCAGCUGUGCUACAAGCGUUGGAGGAGAGAUGUGUACAAGAUUUACGGCAUGAACAUGGUAUCAUGUCUAGUUUUUCUGUGUGCGUACAUUUCUGUGAGGGAGUUGUUCACAGGGUUUUACAUUUAUUCACAUUAUUCUGAUGUAAGACUAUUAUUCUUUCUUUUUUAUCUGAAUAAUGUUGUUGUGGUUUUCAGGAAAAAUCAUGAGAAUGUUUCUGUGAAAAGUCGAUACUGGUUUGAAUACCUGUGGAGCAUACAAUUAUGAAAUAAUAAGUCCCAAUUAGUUUGAUUCCAAAGGAUUUUGCACUUUUCACUCACCCUAUCCUGUGAUUAUUUUUGCUUGUGGUUAUUUCAUUGAAAUAAAUAUUGAAAAUUAAUCUUGAUAUUUCUAAAAAAAAAGUGUGUGCAUGUUUCUGCUUGAAUAUGAUACAUUUGCAUUUCUUCAUUUACAGUGCAUUCGGAAAGUGUUCAGACCCCUUUACAUUUUACACAUUUUGUUACUUGACAGCCUUAUUCUAAAAUGGAUUGCAUAGUUCCCCCCCCCCCCCCUCAUCAAUCUACACACAAUACCCCAUAAUGAUAAAAGUUUUUAGACAAUUUUGCAAGUAAAAAAUAUAUUUAAAAAAAUGAAAUAUCACAUUUCCAUAAGUAUUCAGACCCUUUACUCAGUACUUUGUUUGAAGCAUAUUUGGCAGCGAUUACAGCAUUGAGUCUUCUUAGGUAUGACGUUACAAGCUUGGCACACCUGUAUUUUGGGAGUUUCUCCCAUUCUUCUCUGCAGAUCCUCUCAAGCUCUGUCAGAUUGGAUGGGGAGUGUUGCUACACAGUUAUUUUCAGGGCUCUCCAGAGAUUGGGUAUAAGUCCGGGCUCUGGUUGGGCCACUCAAGGAUAUUCAGAGUUUUGUCCCGAAGCCAAUCCUGCGUUGUCUUGGCUGUGUGCUUAGGGUCACUGUUCUGUUGGAAGGUGAACCUUCGCCCCAGUCUGAGGUCCUGAGCACUCUGGAGCAGGUUUCCAUCAAGGAUCUCUCUGUACUUUGCUCCGUUCAUCUUUCCCCCCGAUCCUGAUUAGUCUCCCAGUCUCUGCCGCUGAAAAACAUCCCCAAUGCAUGAUGCUGCCGCCACCAUGCUUCACCGCAGGGAUAAUGCCAGGUUUCCUUUAGAGGUGACGCUGGGCAUUCAGGACAAAGAGGUCAAUUUUGGUUUCAUCAGACCAGAUACUAUUGUUUCUCAUGGUCUGAGAGUCCUUCAGGUGCCUUUUGGCAAGCGGGCUGUCUUGUGCCUUUAACUGAGGAGUGGCUUCCGCCUGGCCACUGUAGUAUAAAAGCCUGAUUGGUGGAGUGCUGCAGAGAUGGUUGUCCUUCUGGAAGGUUCUCCCAUCUCCACAGAGGAACUCUGGACCAUUGGGUUUCUUGGUCACUUCCCCGACCAAGGCCCUUCUCCCCCGAUUGCUUAGUUUGGCCGGGGGGGCCACAGCUCUAUGAAAUCUUAGUGGUUCCAAACCUCUUCCAUUUAAUGGAGGCCACUGUGUUCUUGGGGACCUUCAAUGCACUGUAACAGACAGAGGUAAAAUGUGUUUUAUAUUGGAUAGUUAGUAGAUAUUUGUUCUUCUCUCAUCAAUAGCUAUUUAACCAAGCAUGCAAUGACUAUUAUAUUUUUUAUAAAUGUAGAUUUUUUUAUUUUUCAGAUUUCAAUCUUCAAUAGCUUUAAAAAAAAUUAUAGCAUGCCAUGUCUAUGGAAAUAAUAUAUUCUGAAUCAGGGGAGGAUGGAGAAAAAUCCACAACAUUUAGAUUUUUAUGGGGGAGGGGUUCAAUCUUUAAUAGCUCAAACAAUUGAUUCAGAAAAUAUUUUUUUUCAUGGUCACGGCACGCUUUGUUUAAGAGCUAUUGAAGAUUGAAAUCUGAAGAUGUUUUUAAAGAAAUAUAUGUUAACUAAAAAAAAUCUUUCUACAUCCUCCCCUGAUGCAGAAUAUAUAGUUUUCAUAGUCGUGGCACGCUUUGCCAAGAGAAAACCAAUAUCCACCAAAUAUCCAAUAUUUAAAAAAAAUGUACCUCGGUAUUUCGCAGACAGUUUUCUAUUGACUUUGAAUGAAUGGCUCAACGGGUGUCAACAGCUUGAGAAUACUCUAAGACUACUUUUUUUUUGUUCAAGUGACUGGCAACUGAAAUAUUCAGUGCCCUCAUCUGGUAGAAAGUAGCCAAUGGCAGAAUUUUGAGGCUGCAUUACAGAUCUCCAUUACUUUUAAGUUGCAAUGCGUUUGGGCGUCAUUUAAAGUGGAACUGACAGCAUUUUAGCAACAUUAAAUCUUAUUCAAAUCUGUUCAUAUUCACCCUCAGAAAGAAUGACAUGUAUUUGAAUGUUUUUCAUGUUUGAGAAAUGAGAUCUUACAUAUGGUCAUUUUCACAUUUUCAUACUUUCAUGGAAUGUUUGGGAAUGAUGUGGAGUAAAGCAUUUGUGACAAUUCUUUAGCAGCCGUGGGUUGGACAAUUGAUAGUACAUUUUUACAUUCUGUAAUGUUCACUUGAACAGAAACAGUGCUGUACUGAACGACCAGUUGACAAACUGGGAGGUGUUGGGUUGUGGGUUGGGGAACACUGUCAGCAUGGCCACCGCCCUUUAAAUAUGUCCACUCAUUGCUUCAGCCCACACCUAGCCACACACACCAAAUGUAAGCAAAAAUAAGUCAAAGGCUGUUCAAGAACAUACAAGAAAGUUUUUUGGGAAACGUGUCAAUCUGUACAAAACGUUCCGCAGCGUAGCAAACGUUCAAGCGAACUGAAUGGACCUCAGCACCGGACUCUACACAGACCUGUGCACCAUAGUCAUAGCAGUGCUACAGUAAGCUUAUAUGCAAAUAAGCCAUACGGCCAUCAUUCACUUUGAACUGGGCUGUGUGUUUGCAGGCACUAGCAACAACGGCACUUUAGAUCAUUAGAAAGCAUUUGCCAAAAGCCACAAAAUACAUAUACCUAAAUCGAUUUAUGCAAAUAUGUAAAUACCACGGGAGUCCUCUUACAUUUGGGAACUUUACAGUCCUAUUGAUCAAACAACCACGAAGAGCACAGAAUGUUGGUGCCACCUUAAUUGGGGAGGAUGGGCUCGUGGUAACGGCUGGAACUGAAUAAGUGGAAGCAGCAAAUCUUACCAGGCCAGCUGUGAUUUACAACCUAAUACCAAGGAACGUAUUGGUGAAUGAGUUAUAUUUGCCUGACUUUCCUAGUUAAAUAAAGGUUAAAUAAAAUCUAAUAAAAAUACAUAUUAAAUCGGGAAUUAAUUUCUUACUCUAUGUCAAUGAAUUUUGAGUGAAAUAGAACCUAUUUUUAAAACCUCUUUUAAAGUUGGUGUUCUAGCAUAAACUGGGAAUUUGAUAUUUUUGACUGAUAUGAUUGUUUGUUUUAUAUCUGCAAGGUAGUUCAAACUGUCUGUUCCAGUUUAAGAUUUUAC